UACGUAGGGUGCAAGCGUUGCCCGGAUUUAUUGGGCGUAAAGGGCGCGUAGGCGGCUCUGCACGUUCGUUGUGAAAUCGCCCGGCUCAACUGGGCGGGGUCAGCGGAUACGGCAGAGCUUGAGCAAGCUAGGGGGCAAUGGAAUUCCCGGUGUAGUGGUGGAAUGCGUAGAUAUCGGGAGGAACACCAGUGGCGAAGGCGGUUCUCUGGGCAUUACCUGACGCUGAGGAGCGAAAGUGAUGGGGAGCGGAACAGGA
rnacentral:rRNA from 1 species